CCUGGUCUGGGCAUCCCGCAAGCCACGCAGCGGGGCCAAAAAACAAAAACAAAACAAAAAAACCCCGGUAACCCAGGAUUUUUGGAGCAAAAUGUAGUUAUUUACAGUCUAAGAUGCUCAGACGUCUUAAACAGCAAUAAACUUGAGCACAACCAAAAUACACUUUUUUAGUGUGAUAAAAUUGCCAGUUUUGAAAGAGAAGCUUUAUUCCUCAUUUUGAAAAGUAUGACUACUUUGUAUGUAAAUUGUGGCCGCGGUAAUGGGUCCUCAGGCAGAAACCUCGGUGGCCAGAAAGGGGAAAUCCAGGGCACGUGACGUAUAAAAUUGGCUCUUGGCAAAGACGGCAUCACUUUUGCAAGAUCUUAAGCCAGGUAUACAGGACGCAGAAUGACGCAAAUAUUAAGACGGGAAGGCUCCCGAAACAUUUCAAAUGUAUGUCCAAAGAGUGCGUGUUAUAACACACUGUUCACAUGACAUUUUUCAAAAUUCAGAACCUAAAGGCCAUGCAGGCCACGUGAUCAGAUAAAUGUAACUUUAGAUUUUUUGUUGGUUUGUUUGCAUAAAAUGUUCCAUCAUUAGUGCGAUUAGAAACAAAACACAAAUAACCUGCGGCCUCGGAAGGGGAAAACUUACAGGUCAAGAGCGAGAAAUACAAAAAGCACGGCAUCGAACGAAGGUAACACUGUUCCAGGCGUCUUUUCAGAGGAUCAUCAGGUAUCCUGAACCAGGAGAAUGUGGCUCUCAGACGUCUCACUGGGACUGCAAAGGUGCUGAGUUUCAAAGGAAGAAUAGGAUGUGUCAUCACCCCCACCAGCUAACCCCAGUCCACUGUCAGCUCAGAGGACAGACGUUAUCAGGUAAUUGCAGCAUAAAGUGAUAAGUGCAUUGCUAGAGAUACAGAGAAGGUAUUAAAGGAGAUUAGAGGAAGGCCACCUAAUGCACGUGCAAGAGUAAUGUAGUUGGUUAUACCUGGAGAUCAGUACUAGGUGUGUGCAGCAUAGUGGGUGCUUAUAAAUGGAUGUGGCUGAACAAAUGAAUUGUGUUGCUGUGAUUCUAACUUCAAAUGGUUUGGUGGCUGAUUCCAAGACCCCUUUAUUGCUCUUUCAUGUCAUAAAAGAAAAACAAUUUAAUAACGGUUGCGGUUGUUAUGAUUAUAAAGCGCCACCAGGUGCUUUGCACAUUCACAUGGGUAUUUACCUGCACUUUAUUUUUUUCCUCAACUUUUCAUUAAGUGAUUGUUUCUACCAUUAAUCUUUCUUCCCAGAGACGAGAAAGACCGCCUUUGGCCAUUUUCAUCGUGUUGUGUUAAAUCUUAGGAAAAAAAUGAGUUCAAUGUAUGUAGCACAAGAGACAGGUAGGAGACUAACAGCUGGGGUAGAGAAAUUCAAUAACAGUUUUCUCCCCGAGGAUGGGAGCAGGGCGGGUGUUAUGAGCCUGGGAAAUGGUGCACUUAUUGCUAAGCUGCGGAGAGAGCAGGGUUGAAAGAGUAGAGUUUUCCCCUCUCCCUUUAAUUUGCGCUGAACACUUGCUCUGGUAAAAAAGUGGGAAUGGAAGCCCUAACUGCAAAGCAUCAACUUCAGAAGAAAAAAAUGUUACUUUUAUGCUGCCCAUGAAAACAUUUACCUGCUCCAUAUGCUUCAGUACUUAUCAGAGAAAGAGGAAUUUGCCCAAUGAAAAUGGAGAGCUCGUUUCUGAAAAAUUGUUUUCCAUAAAUCUUGCAAAUGACUGAGCUCAAAUAUUCUAGGUUGUAGCCAGAGCGACCCCCAGGGAGUGAUUAUCAGGGAAAUAACCAUGACCAACAAAAGGAUCUUGCACAGAUCUGACUAGUGACACCAGGAGGUGACCUUUCUGUGAAGGAGGCAUUCGCCUGCAUUGCCAGGAGCUCUGUAAUUAAUGGGGCACCGGAGAUUGCCUUCUUCUCUCUAAGCUGCUAAUUAUUCCUCCCAGAGACGCACAUCAGGAACUACAUCCAGGAUGUCAUGUUCUGACUACUGCUCUGUGGGCGGAAUCUGAUGAGUGUAUGAGGGGCUAAGUUGACUAAAUCCCAAUACUCCCCUCCUGUGGUCCUUUCUUUUCUCCCAAAGUGGUCCCACUUGAGGAAAGCUAUGGUGAUUAAGCAAUACUUACAGUUUCUACUUUCCUUUUUGGGGGGAGAUUCAUGAUUUCAUUAGCAAUAUCAUGAGUAUCAAAUAUACGGAAUGGUUUGGAACUCACAGAUUGUUUUGCUUCCUUUUUACUCGUAUGUCUGGGGUGGUUAGUAUGAUGUGAGAACACUACCCCCCGUCGUCAGGGUAGGUGAAAACCUACCUGCAGGGCUGCUGUGUGCGGUUGUACAUGUUGUGCCCUGCACGAGGAUGCCAGCCAAAGGGGUGAGUGGGGGCCUGAAAUCCAGUGGUUCCAGAGUCUGAAUUCUUCUUCUUUUUUUUAAAAAAG